rnacentral:lncRNA from 1 species
AAACAAGGCCCCAAACAAGCGCACAUCUGUGCAGCUUGAGCGUUGAAAACAACCAUCCAUAUCCUAGAGGGAGUUACAUACUUUCAGCUCCUUGCUUUACAGUUAAUUUCAAGUAGAAUCUCUCUUCAUUUAUUGUACAAAUGAUUAGUGCUUUCUGCUUGGCACUCUGCUAAUGGGAAAAGGAAGAUAAAUUAGACAGGAUUCCGCUUUCAAGGAGUUCAAAGAUAGAAAGCAGUGUGUGCGUGCUCAGUCUCUUCACUCAGGUCUGAGUGUUUGCGACCCUCUGGACUGCAACCCACCAGGCUCCUCUGUCGAUGGGAUUCUCCAGGCAAGAAUACUGGAGUGGGGUUGUCAUGCCCUCUUCCAGGGGAAUCUUCCCAACCCAGAGAUCGAACCAGAGUCUCCCACGUCUCCUGCAUUGCAGGCGGAUUCUUAAUCCACUGAGCCACCUAGAAAGCAGUAUUGUAAGGCAUGGAAAGCUGGACAUUCUUUUGGCUGUUUGACUGUCUCCUGCUAAGAAAGUUUCAGAGAAUUCAUGGGCCUGACGUACAGCCUAUGGUUCUGAGCCAUGAGGUGGGUUGAAUUACCUUUGGACGGUCAGCUCUAAAACUCGGGUAGCAUCCUAAGCAGUGCUAAGUAACAAUCUGAUCUUCUCAACCCCUAAAAAGUAAGAAAUACAAAAAGGAAAUGGCACUUUCAUUUUGAAACACAUUUUUAACAAUACUUCAUGAAAUAUCUUGAAGAAAAUAAAAAUCAUGUUCCCAUUUUGAAACCA